UGGGGGAUAUUGCACAAUGGGCGAAAGCCUGAUGCAGCGACGCCGCGUGGGGGAUGAAGGCUUUCGGGUUGUAAACCUCUUUCGCUAUCGAACAAGGCCCGCUUAGGGUGGGUUGAGGGUAGGUGGAGAAGAAGCGCCGGCUAACUACGUGCCAGCGGCCGCGGUAAUACGUAGGGCGCGAGCGUUGUCCGGAAUUAUUGGGCGUAAAGGGCUUGUAGGCGGCUUGUUGCGCCUGCUGUGAAAACGCGGGGCUUAACUUCGCGCGUGCAGUGGGUACGGGCAGGCAUGAGUGUGGUAGGGGUGACUGGAAUUCCAGGUGUAGCGGUGGAAUGCGCAGAUAUCUGGAGGAACACCGAUGGCGAAGGCAGGUCACUGGGCCAUUACUGACGCUGAGGAGCGAAAGCAUGGGUAGCGAACAGG
rnacentral:rRNA from 1 species